GUGUGACACGUUCCAGCGCGGGAUCACGCGCCCGCGCUGCAGGUCCCGUUUGUUGCCCACGAUGAUGAUGGGCGUCUCCGAGGUGCCGAUCACCCUGCGGGGUGGGAGCGGGAGGAGAUUUCAGAAUGACACAGCCUGGUCUCCCAACCCCUGGACUUCAAGAAGGGCAGGCUGUACCUGGUCAAUACUGCUACUACUACCCUACCUCUGUUCCGGGCACAGUGCUCAGUCCUCGGGGUGCCUUAUAUUCUCUAACGGGAACAACUGAUCUAAAAGGGCAUCCAGGAGAGUCUAAAACUCAGGAUCAACCAGGAAGAGAAAGGACAACAACCCAACAGAAAAGAUGGACAGAGAACUUAAGAAUUGUGAGAAAAAGAAAUGCAAAAGCUCUUAUGCCUAUGAAAAGAUGCUCAGCUUCAACCAUCAUCAGAGACACAAACCAAAACCACACCGAGACUAUCACAUCUCAUCUAUCAGACUGUCAGAACCCCCCAAAUUGGACACUAGAGUCUGAUGGCCAGGCUUCAGGGAAAACAGCGCUCACAUACACUGCUCUCACAACAACAGAAAUAUGCAACUUUCCUUCCAAAUUCAGCUGCGUUUAUCCUUUGACCUAGCAACGCCGUUUCUGGGGCUCGAUUCCACAGAUACGCCUCCCCCUGAGCAGAGAGACCAUGGACCAGGCUAUUGGUGCGGCAGACUGGAAGUUGGACACACAAGAAGGGAUGCCAUGGUCCCUCUCUCCAGGGGGGUGUGGCACAACCGUGCUACUGACAUUCAGAUACCAACCCUCGGGGAAAAUCUCUAGGUUAUAAUGUAAGGCAAAAAGACCAGGUGGAGAACUUUUUUUUUUUUUUUUUCUGUAAGAAAGGGAGUGGAAGAAGAACACAUUUUCUUAUUUGUUUAAAGAAACUGGAAGUGUGAAUAAAAAGCCAGCGAGGAUGGCCAUUGAGAGUGGGGCAAAAUCAGGGUGAAGAGGGCAGGGCGGGACUGGGAUUUCUCUGGGUGUACCUUUUUGCAGUUGGGACUUUUUUCCUUUUUGUUUUUUUAUACAAAUUUAGACUUUGAAACUAUGUCUUACCUAUUCCAAAACUGGA